UACGUAGGGGGCAAGCGUUGUCCGGAAUCAUUGGGCGUAAAGAGCGUGUAGGCGGUCCGGUAAGUCGGCUGUGAAAACUCGAGGCUCAACCUCGAGACGUCGGUGGAAACCGUUUGGCUAGAGUCCGGAAGAGGAGAGUGGAAUUCCCGGUGUAGCGGUGAAAUGCGCAGAUAUCGGGAAGAACACCCGUGGCGAAGGCGGCUCUCUGGGACGGUACUGACGCUGAGACGCGAAAGCAAGGGGAUCAAACAGG
rnacentral:rRNA from 1 species